GUUGGAUUAGCUAGUUGGUAGGGUAAAGGCCUACCAAGGCGACGAUCCAUAACUGGUCUGAGAGGAUGAUCAGUCACACCGGAACUGAGACACGGUCCGGACUCCUACGGGAGGCAGCAGUGGGGAAUAUUGGACAAUGGGGGCAACCCUGAUCCAGCCAUGCCGCGUGUGUGAAGAAGGCCUUCGGGUUGUAAAGCACUUUAAGUGGGGAAAAAGGCUCGCUGGCUAAUACCCAGCGGGAUUGAUACUACCCACAGAAUAAGCACCGGCUAACUCUGUGCCAGCAGCCGCGGUAAUACAGAGGGUGCAAGCGUUAAUCGGAAUUACUGGGCGUAAAGCGCGCGUAGGCGGCUGCCUAAGUCGGGUGUGAAAGCCCCGGGCUCAACCUGGGAACUGCACUCGAUACUGGGCGGCUAGAGUAUGAAAGAGGGAGGUAGAAUUCCACGUGUAGCGGUGAAAUGCGUAGAUAUGUGGAGGAAUACCGGUGGCGAAGGCGGCCUCCUGG
rnacentral:rRNA from 1 species